rnacentral:ribozyme from 1 species
UACCCAGCAACUCCUAUACCUACCUUCGCGUGGUACCGGCUGGAAAUUACGAGCAACCUUAGGGAAGUUCGGGUAACCAAUCCCGGUGGGGGCUUUGGUCGUAGGCUGACAGGAAAGG